AGUUCGGAUUGAAGGCUGAAAUUCGCCUUCAUGAAGCCGGAAUUGCUAGUAAUGGCAGGUCAGCAUACUGCCGUGAAUACGUUCCCGGGCCUUGUACACACCGCCCGUCACACCAUGAGAGUUGGGAAUACCCGAAGCCUGUGAGCUAACUUUUAGAGGCAGCAGUCGAAGGUAGAAUCAAUGAUUGGGGUGAAGUCGUAACAAGGUAUC
rnacentral:rRNA from 1 species